rnacentral:tRNA from 1 species
GCAGAAGCGCCACCGGUGGGGAGGUGGGGCGGGCUGUAAACCCGUUGCCUUCGGGCUGGGCAGGUUCGAGUCCUGUCUUCUGCA